CCUGAUAACGUGGAUGAGGAUGAAGCUGAGAAUUAUGAUGACGCCAUUACAGCUGAUCAGAAGUCAGUUCUACUGACAGAGGACGUGUGUGAGAACUAUGAUGAUGCAGUUACUGCUGAAACAAACCCAAACAUCAUCACAGAAGAUGAAGAUGAAGAUGAAGAUGAUGAUGAUGUCA